rnacentral:lncRNA from 1 species
GAACCUUCCAGCCACCUUCUCUUGGUAGAGUUCGAAACCCUUGAUGAAGACGUCCUGGCCAAACUGGACCUGUAGAUCCUCCAUCUUGGAGGAGGCUUUGAACUCCACUGCUCGAGCCCCUGCUUCCGAGACGAAGGACGAGAUCCGUGCUUUCAGCUCGAAAACAUGCGCCUUCAGCUCAGAAACCUGCGCCUUCAGUUCGGAGACCUCGGCCUCAGCCUUCUCUCUCUCCUCCUCCAAGGCGGUCCUCAGAUCAGACGAGGUUUGUCCCUCCUUUCCUAGCACCUCCUGGAGACUUAGGACCUCGGCGAUCUUCUCCUCGAGGCGGACGGCCCCAGCCAGGCGACCUUCCUCUGCUCGAGCUG